UACGGGGGGAGCAAGCGUUGUUCGGAUUUACUGGGCGUAAAGGGCGCGUAGGCGGCCACCGCAAGUCGGUUGUGAAAUCUCUGGGCUUAACCCAGAAAGGUCAACUGAUACUGCGGGGCUAGAGUGCAGAAGGGGCAACUGGAAUUCUCGGUGUAGCGGUGAAAUGCGUAGAUAUCGAGAGGAACACCUGCGGCGAAGGCGGGUUGCUGGGCUGACACUGACGCUGAAGCGCGAAAGCUAGGGGAGCGAACGGG
rnacentral:rRNA from 1 species